rnacentral:rRNA from 1 species
AGUUUACGCUCUAUAACCCUUUGUGAACAUACCUAUAACUGUUGCUUCGGCGGGUAGGGUCUCCGCGACCCUCCCGGCCUCCCGCCUCCGGGCGGGUCGGCGCCCGCCGGAGGAUAACCAAACUCUGAUUUAACGACGUUUCUUCUGAGUGGUACAAGCAAAUAAUCAAAACUUUUAACAACGGAUCUCUUGGUUCUGGCAUCGAUGAAGAACGCAGCGAAAUGCGAUAAGUAAUGUGAAUUGCAGAAUUCAGUGAAUCAUCGAAUCUUUGAACGCACAUUGCGCCCGCCAGCAUUCUGGCGGGCAUGCCUGUUCGAGCGUCAUUUCAACCCUCAAGCUCUGCUUGGUGUUGGGGCCCUACAGCUGAUGUAGGCCCUCAAAGGUAGUGGCGGACCCUCCCGGAGCCUCCUUUGCGUAGUAACUUUACGUCUCGCACUGGGAUCCGGAGGGACUCUUGCCGUAAAACCCCCCAAUUUUCCAAAGGUUGACCUCGGAUCAGGUAGGAAUACCCGCUGAACUUAAGCAUAUCAAUAAGCGGAGGAAAAGAAACCAACAGGGAUUGCCUCAGUAACGGCGAGUGAAGCGGCAACAGCUCAAAUUUGAAAUCUGGCCCUAGGCCCGAGUUGUAAUUUGCAGAGGAUGCUUUUGGUGCGGUGCCUUCCAAGUUCCCUAGAACGGGACGCCAGAGAGGGUGAGAGCCCCGUACAGUUGGACACCAAGCCUUUGUAAAGCUCCUUCGACGAGUCGAGUAGUUUGGGAAUGCUGCUCAAAAUGGGAGGUAUAUUUCUUCUAAAGCUAAAUACCGGGCCAGAGACCGAUAGCGCACAAGUAGAGUGAUCGAAAGAUGAAAAGCACUUUGAAAAGAGGGUUAAACAGCACG